UAAUUGCAUGGUAUGCUAGCAGUUUGGCA
rnacentral:piRNA from 1 species